AGACCCGAAACCCGGUGAUCUAGCCAUGGGCAGGUUGAAGGUUGGGUAACACUAACUGGAGGACCGAACCGACUAAUGUUGAAAAAUUAGCGGAUGACUUGUGGCUGGGGGUGAAAGGCCAAUCAAACCGGGAGAUAGCUGGUUCUCCCCGAAAGCUAUUUAGGUAGCGCCUCGUGAAUUCAUCUCCGGGGGUAGAGCACUGUUUCGGCAAGGGGGUCAUCCCGACUUACCAACCCGAUGCAAACUGCGAAUACCGGAGAAUGUUAUCACGGGAGACACACGGCGGGUGCUAACGUCCGUCGUGAAGAGGGAAACAACCCAGACCGCCAGCUAAGGUCCCAAAGUCAUGGUUAAGUGGGAAACGAUGUGGGAAGGCCCAGACAGCCAGGAUGUUGGCUUAGAAGCAGCCAUCAUUUAAAGAAAGCGUAAUAGCUCACUGGUCGAGUCGGCCUGCGCGGAAGAUGUAACGGGGCUAAACCAUGCACCGAAG
rnacentral:rRNA from 1 species